rnacentral:rRNA from 1 species
GACGAACCGAGCGAACGUUAUUCGGAAUCACUGGGCUUAAAGGGUGCGUAGGCGGGCACGCGAGUCAGGGGUGAAAUCCCACGGCCCAACCGUGGAAGUGCCUCUGAUACCGCGAGCCUCGAGGGGGAUAGGGGCGUGCGGAACUUCCGGUGGAGCGGUGAAAUGCGUAGAUAUCGGAAGGAACACCGGUGGCGAAAGCGGCGCGCUGGAUCCCUACUGACGCUGAGGCACGAAAGCCAGGGGAGCAAACGGGG